rnacentral:rRNA from 1 species
GAUGAACGCUGGCGGCGUGCCUAAUACAUGCAAGUCGAGCGAACGGACGAGAAGCUUGCUUCUCUGAUGUUAGCGGCGGACGGGUGAGUAACACGUGGAUAACCUACCUAUAAGACUGGGAUAACUUCGGGAAACCGGAGCUAAUACCGGAUGAUAUUUUGAACCGCAUGGUUCAAAAGUGAAAGACGGUCUUGCUGUCACUUAUAGAUGGAUCCGCGCUGCAUUAGCUAGUUGGUAAGGUAACGGCUUACCAAGGCAACGAUGCAUAGCCGACCUGAGAGGGUGAUCGGCCACACUGGAACUGAGACACGGUCCAGACUCAUACGGGAGGCAGCAGUAGGGAAUCUUCCGCAAUGGGCGAAAGCCUGACGGAGCAACGCCGCGUGAGUGAUGAAGGUCUUCGGAUCGUAAAACUCUGUUAUUAGGGAAGAACAUAUGUGUAAGUAACUGUGCACAUCUUGACGGUACCUAAUCAGAAAGCCACGGCUAACUACGUG